AUUGAACGCUGGCGGCAGGCUUAACACAUGCAAGUCGAGCGGGGUGAUGGUGCUUGCACUAUCACUUAGCGGCGGACGGGUGAGUAAUGCUUAGGAAUCUACCUAUUAGUGGGGGACAACAUCUCGAAAGGGAUGCUAAUACCGCAUACGUCCUACGGGAGAAAGCAGGGGAUCACUUGUGACCUUGUGCUAAUAGAUGAGCCUAAGUCGGAUUAGCUAGUUGGUGGGGUAAAGGCCUACCAAGGCGACGAUCUGUAGCGGGUCUGAGAGGAUGAUCCGCCACACUGGGACUGAGACACGGCCCAGACUCCUACGGGAGGCGGCAGUGGGGAAUAUUGGACAAUGGGGGGAACCCUGAUCCAGCCAUGCCGCGUGUGUGAAGAAGGCCUUAUGGUUGUAAAGCACUUUAAGCGAGGAGGAGGCUCUUUUGGUUAAUACCCAAGAUGAGUGGACGUUACUCGCAGAAUAAGCACCGGCUAACUCUGUGCCAGCCGCCGCGGUAA
rnacentral:rRNA from 1 species